UAUGUACUACACGAUGUACAUGGACACUUGCAGCGGCAUCUUUGAUUUUACUUGAUGUCUUGUCACUUCAAACUGGUUUUACAGGGACAAGGGGGACAUUUCCAAUGACUGUACUCAAGUGCCUCUUUACUUCACCUUAUCCUCUGAUAAUUAACAAUUUAUUUGUGUUAACACUUUACGUAUGUUACCCAUAAUGAUUUCCUAACUAUCUAUGUCAGCUGUAUAAAAUUAAAAAGUUAGGGAAUAAGAAACAUAAUACAAUUAUAGCUUUUUAAAUAAUUCAUUGCAAAUAUAUUACAAAAUACAUAAACAUCUAUCUGAAUAAAUGGAAGAUCGAGUUUUAUCUGCAACCAUCUAAGAGAUGGCACGUACAGGGCUUCCUACAGACACACUUUUCAACUACAUUGGUGCGUAAGUUUUCUUUUCCCCCUGAAUGUCUUGUUUUUUUAACGCUUACAGUAUUUUCUACAGGCAUUCGUCUCAUUUGUUAUAAAUAUCCUCGAGUUCAAUGAAUUUUGCAGCCGACUGGCAUUGCCGAUUUUACCAGAUCUCUUAUCCUCUUACCACGAGGAAGUUGCCGCGAGUGGAGAUUGGUAGAGAAUUUUACCGCAAGUUACCGACCACUAUCGAAGUUUUGCCAAGCGGACAUUUAAAUUAGUUAUAUCGUUUCGUCUCUACGUGGAUGUGGUUUCUUUCUCAACAGUGUCGCCUCUUGUUUUAUCUCUACUCCUCGACAAGACCUGAAUACCUUAUAAUCUCAACAAAGUCUACUCCCCGUUUCAAGCUUGUAAUGCUCGAAAAUUAAAAGUACAAGUGCACCACAUUGACCCAUAAUGAAUAUAUUCUUGUAUCCAGAAAACAAAACCCACUGAACUUCUCCUAUCUGAUAUUCUAUCUGGAAAUAUCUUUCAGGUCGACGUGUUUCACAGAACAAAUAAAGGAACGAACUUCUGGGUAAUAGUUUUUCCGUACAUACACCGGGAAUCAUCGUACGGCAUGGGAUCAUUAGCUGUUCGCGGUCAACGUCUCUGGUCUCCCCUCGCGCUCGGUUUCAAAGCCGCAGAAACUCGUCUAUUCCCGUGUCGACGAUUUUCCACGGUUCUGGUGUGCUUUUUCGUCCCUAUAUGUGUCGACGGGUCGACGAACGGCACACGGAUACGGCCCUGGCCAGCCCGCAAACAGCAUUUUUCCACGGCGACUCGGUUUACGCUCGCGGUUAAAAAGAAUCCGCUCCGUGUUGGUCGCGCGUCGCCACCCGAUUACCAACAGAAGAAAUGCCAGAGACUAAAGACGGGCAGAACGAGCAAGGGAGCCGCUAUAGCGGGCAAAAAUCAAGAGAUACCGAGCCAAGUUCCGGGAAACGGUUAUAUCGUAUCGAUCGUAAAGUAGGAGAUGACGAGGAAGCACGCGUAAUAACCGUGAAUGUGUGAAUACCCUCUAACGUCGUUUAAAAUGGAUGGAAGAUUGAAAAUUUCAGUCGCAGCUGUCCGUCCAGUGUUUUAAGAAGUAAAAAUUACUUUAAACAAUGUUUCUCUUCGUUUAAAGAAUUGUUGAAGCGACAAAAGACGCAUGGUAGAUGCAAUCGGAGGUAACGGAUAUAUAACAACCGAGAGUGCGUAAGCAACUUCUGUAUAAUGUAUAGAAUUGCAGGGACAAGGCCACGUGUGAAUUUAUCGCAUAUGUUGGAUAUUUCAAGAAGAAAAGAUUAAUCAAGUAUUAUGCAGUCUUCUCGUAUCAAGGAAUCAAAAGUGUGAUUGAAAGAUACAAGUACAUUAUAGACGUUUUCUAUGUUUAAAAAUGCUAUCUCGAAGGAAGAUUGAAUAUUUUAUCGAGUUAAAGUUCUUGCAACUUUGUUUGGUUCUCGUUUCACUUUCAGGACACCUUAGCUGAUAACGAGGAACGUGUCGUAACUAGAAACGUGCAAAUAUCCUCUGCGAUAAAAGUCGUGAGUGAGUUGUAGGAACUACAUAUUUUAAACAGCAGAGAUUAUUGUAAGUUUGUUUGGUCCUUAUCUUUCCAGAAAAUCGAGUAUGUCAUAAUUGAAGACAUGAAAAUAUUUGUUACGAUUGCACGUAAGUUAUUUGCGUGAAACCGAAUAUUUAAAAAAAACACAGCUAUCGCUGUAUAAAUUUAUCUGCAUCUUUUUCAGAGAACCACAACUUGAUGGCAAGGACCGUGUGAUAACGACAGACGCUGAAACAUGUUCCAUGAUAAAAAAUGAUUUUCUUUAUAAGCCAAGAUGAGCGCAGUAAGAGUAAUCACAAUUAAAUUAAUUAUAAGUACGGAAAAUUAAUCUAUGGCCCUCCUUGUCUGCGAUCAAGUUAUGCAGUGUCAUCUAGUACAUGGUAACGGAACUGAAAUUUGGAGCGAUCAUGUAUAGGUGGCAGGACGUGACACGUUCGAACGCAAAAAAUCGAGCUCUUUGUUUCGAAACGUGUGUUGGACGAACCAUGUUCUGUCAUCUGUGUGUAAACGUCCCAAGUUUCAGUUCCUUUACCACGUAACAGAUGGCUUAACGUGGUACGUCGAAACGCAAAAAAUAGAGCUCCUUAGUCCGAAACGUGUGUUGGACAAGACAUGUCCUGCCAUCUAUGCGUAAACGCUCCAAGUUUCAGUUCCCUCAUUAUCUAAUAGAUGUCCUGACAUGACUUGACUGCAGACAAAGAGAGCUACAGUGUACGAUAAUGACAAAUGAUACGAGCGGUGGAAGAGGAGGAUACAGUGUACGACAAAGAUAGACGAUGCAAGUGCCGGUAGAAAGAGGAACUCUCUUUUUCUCUUUCUCUUUCUCUUUCUCUCUAUUAUGCUAGUGUAAACAUAGAGGAAACAUAAAUUAAUUCUACUUCAAUUAGAACGAAUAACGAGUUGUGGAUGUAAAACUAGUUGUAGCCACGUGUAAAAAGUAAUUCAAGCAUUCUCCUUAUAAUUAAACUACCAUUAAAUGCAAAUUAACUAAUAUCAUUAAUAACUCGGAUAUCUGAAAAAUGCCAUAAAUUCAAAUUGCUACUUUGUUCCUUCCGAUAUAUAUUAAUUACAUUUUUAUAUUAUACUUCAUUUCUAAUUUAUUGUUCCACCUGCUAGACUAAAAGAGUAAUUUAAAAUGCAAAUUACGUUCUCAAGGCUUGCAGUAUAUACAAAAAUUGUUUUAUAAUCAUUAUUUAAUCCUAAUUUCAUUAAACUGUUAACCAAGUAAUACAAGACACUUUGAUACGAUUAAUUCUUUUGUCCGCAAGUCCAACCCCUUCCUAUAGCUCGUUUCAUAUCUGUUAAGAAUAAAUUACAUUGUAUUUACAUUUGCAGCAAGUGAAAUCUAUUUAAUCUGCAAUUGAUCAAUUGAUUUGCCUGCCUUUAUUAAUUUUCAUUUUAUUAUAAUUUAAUUAUUUCUUCGAUUUAUCGUUUGCAUUUUACAUAAAAAAAUGUAGAAAUUUUCGAUCAAACCAUCAAACGAUUAGCAGGUCGAACAUCAACAAAUUUCAACAAAUCUUCUAAAAUCUCUUACUUUUAUCUGUCCUUGUGCCACGACCACCGCGAUUAACCGUCAUAUGUCCAAGAUUUUUCCAAAAUAAAGUCAAAAAAGACCUGAAAGGGUGGACGUUGCGCUGGAGAACUAGCGUUUGCUGCCAGUAGAUCAAUGAAAAGUUUCAUUCACCGACGGUAUUCGCUCGUUUUUCGUCAUCGCUAUCGCUGCACGUGAUCUGACCGUUCCUCUGGAUCGAUUAGACCCACCUCACACGUGGCCGUCGUGUGUUUCAGUCUGCGCUAAAACUCCAUCUUUGUUUUUAGCAAAAUGGCAAAAAAGAAUAGAAUAUUUAAUUAAUUAUUUAUCUAUAAAUGAAUUGUUAUUUAUCGUAAAUUUGGUCAAUUUUUCUAGCAUUUUAUAUGAAUAAAAUUGCAGAUGCACUUUCAGCAUUUGAGAAUGGAGAAGAUUUUGUAGUCAUCAUAAAUGCAGGGUUUAAAGAAGAGAUCAGUAGCCUUCGAUCAAUCAUUUGGAGUCAAGAUAACGGAAUAUUAAAAGCAACACGCUAUUGUAUUUUUUAUGUUUGCGUUUCAGAUAGAGUAAUUGAAUAUUGACUCAUUUAAAUUUAAUCUACACCGAAGAUGAUAGUAUUUAAAUAAAAUUACAGAAGUACGUAAAUAAAAUUGCAGAAUUCCGGUCAAAUAAUACUCCCUUCAUUUCCUUUUCUACGUUUUAUCACUGAUCGUUCAGCCGUA